rnacentral:rRNA from 1 species
AUACCAGACUCCUACGGGAGGCAGCAGUGGGGAAUAUUGCACAAUGGGGGAAACCCUGAUGCAGCGACGCCGCGUGAGUGAGGAAGUAUUUCGGUAUGUAAAGCUCUAUCAGCAGGGAAGAAAAUGACGGUACCUGACCAAGAAGCCCCGGCUAACUACGUGCCAGCAGCCGCGGUAAUACGUAGGGGGCAAGCGUUAUCCGGAUUUACUGGGUGUAAAGGGGGCGCAGACGGCAAUGCAAGCCAGGAGUGAAAGCCCGGGGCCCAACCCCGGGACUGCUCUUGGAACUGCAUGGCUAGAGUACAGGAGGGGCAGGCGGAAUUCCUAGUGUAGCGGUGAAAUGCGUAGAUAUUAGGAGGAACACCGGUGGCGAAGGCGGCCUGCUGGACUGUGACUGACGUUGAGGCCCGAAGGCGUGGGGAGCAAACAGGAUUAGAUACCCUCGUAA